rnacentral:lncRNA from 1 species
UUUAAAUAAUAAUACAAAAUUUCAAAAUGAGAGACAAAUACUUCAAACUGAUUUGAAAAUUGAGCGUGAAUGGAGGAUUGGCCUUCAAUCAGAAAUUGAGAAUAAUAUUAAAAAGUUGCAAAAAUUAGAGUACGAGCUUAAUCAGCUCACAGAGACAGUAAAGG